rnacentral:lncRNA from 1 species
AUGCUAUUGAAACGUCAUCUGUCCUUGAAAUUUUCAAAAUGGCCGCCGUUGUCAUGGAAACAGCAAAAAAAAAAAAAAAAAAAAAAUCGCAACUUUCAGGCAAAAUUCUGUAAUCAUGACUAUGUGCAUACGAUCAAAUACAAAUCUGUACUGCAAAACAUUUUCUAGAAUAUGCUAGAAGAAAACUAAUAUAGAAUUUAACGUGCUUCUAUUCUAUACAUAAAUCGUGCUUUGAAGAGAAGAAUCGCCACUGAGAGAGAGAGAAACACGAAGAGUACACAUAAGUGACAUUUCUGCACUUGCACUAAAGUACACAUCCGUUAAUCGAACACCUGCUACAAUAUACACAUGAGCUAAAAAUCAAUCGAUAAGCGUGUAAUUAAAUUGUACAAGAUAAGAUACAUGUAUCGUGUGAUACGCGAGUAAUUGAAGAAUAAAAUGAACAGUUAGUAUGCCGCUCCGUCAAUAUAUACACAUGUUGUCUGUCCAAGGUCCCCUCUAAAAAGAAUAGUAAUGUUACUAAGUCCACGAUAAUAUACUUCAGUAUCACGUGACACCACCUUUCUUCCUCGCGCGUGUGUCUAAUUUAAGAUUUUUAAGAGGUUCCCCAACUAUAUAUAGUAGCAUCAAUCUUACUCUACGAGAAGAGAAAAAAGGGGGGGGGGGGUCAAAGGCAUGUAUACAAUAUACUAGACGUGCCCUGUGACUUUGGUACAUUCAAACUGGUUGCUGCUACUGUGACAAUGUCCAGAACGGGGUGACAUCCUCAGCUAUUGCUUGCAAUGGCAAAUCUAGUGUUAGAAUAACUCAUUCGCCAUUCAUUUUUUCUAAUGAGAAAAGAGAAAAUAGAGUAUUUUUCUCAAUCGUACGUGUAAAGUUGUGCACUGAUAUUUGUCACUGAACAGCAGAAAACGUACAGAUAAGGAAUAAAUCAAUGCAAACUGUGUCAAUUUAUGCUAUACAAAGUAUUGAUCAAUCAAUCAAAUCAUGAUUGAAGUGAUCAAAUCAUGAUAAGAGAUCAAUCAAUCAAGUUUUGAUAUCAAACAAGUAAUGAAUCAAGUGCAGAUAUCGAAAAAAAAGUCCCCGUACCAUUUUUCAAACUGCCAAUCAGUCGAUCAAGUCAAUCAAUGAUUAAUCAAUCAAUGAUUGAUCAAUCAUGAUCACAAACCAUCAAUCAACCAAUCCACAUAUCGUUUACGUUGAGUUUAUGAAAGAAAAUACCUUUAAUUCUCUGUUGAACAAUCGACUUUUGCGUAUUAUUAUGUCACCCCUAUGGAAAUAGGGGUGAUAUAUUGUUAUUGUUCCAAAUUUUUCUUCCACACUUUUUGUCCAGCCGAGUUCUCGGAGAUGACUAGACAUACAUUGAUAAAACUGUACCAUAAUGACAAUCCCCAUGUGCAGAUGUGCAGUUAGGGUCUGGAAUUUUCAAGAUGGCCGCCGUUACCAUGGAAACGGCAAAAAUGUGAAAAACCGAAAAAUGGUCCAAAUUUAAUGAAACUUUCAGACAUUGUAACUGGUCAGGCGAAAGCGUGAAAUCCAUCUUAAAAACUUUCAAAAUGGCUACCGUUGCCAUGGAAACAGUCCAAACGUGAAAAAAACGAAAAUAAUUCCUUAAUUAUCAUGUCUAAAUGAAGUCUCUGUUGCCAUAGGAACCAUCACAAAUGUCAAAAAUUUUAAAAUGCUUCAAAAUUGAUGAAACUUCAUAUGAUUGUUGCAAGUUGCAUGAGAUGAAGUUGGAAUUUCCAAAAUGGCUACCGUUGCCAUGGAAACUGGAAAAAUGUCAAAUAUUUUCGAAAUGCUCCAAACUUAAUGAAACUUAAUAUUAUUGUAAACUGGCAUGUAUAGAUGAGACUUUGACUUUUAGAACAAUCAAAAUGGUUGCCGUUGCCAUGGAAACAGCAAAAAUGUCAUGUUUUUAAAAAUGAUCUUAAUGUACUGAAAAUUCACAGAAAAAUGUAUAGCCAUGCAAAUAUGUGCAUUCACUGUUAAAAGUUUUUGAAAUGGCUGCCGCUUAGUGUCAAUGGGGGAAGGGUGACAUCCGCUAUUGCUUGCAAUGGCAAUUCUAGUUAUGUCACCCGAUCGACAAUGUCGGGUGACAUAUUGCUUUUCUUAUGUUUCUUUGUUAUUAUUAUUCUUCCACCUUUUUUUGUCCGACAGGUUUUUUGGAGUAAAAUGGAACCAAUCUUAAUGAUAAUUUACUAUAAGGAGGAACACAAAAUUUCGGGUUGCAGUAGGGUCUAAGACCAAUAAAAAUGGCUGCCGUUUCCAUGGAAACGGAACAAUUGUGAAAAAUUCCAGUUUUUGGGUUUUGUGAAUAAUUUGGAGAUGCUUAAACUCAGAAUCAUCAUAUUUUAUCACAAUGUAGGUGCCAGCCAUAUAUUGGUUUUGGAUGAUAUUGGCAAUCAUUGGAACCACUAUGUUGCCAUGGAAACUACCCAAAAAUUUCAAAAAAUUUCAAAAAUGCUCCAAAUUUUUUGAAACUUUAGCAUAACGAUGAGCAACUUUGGUAGAUGCGUAAUUUGGCGUUGGAAUUUCCAAAAUGUCUGCCGUUACCAUGGAAACAGUGCAUAAGUGUCAAAAUGCUCUAAAAACUCAGGAGUUGAAUAAUUUUGGUAUGCUAGAACUUGAAAUCAUCAAAUUUUUACACAAUAUAGUUGUCCACUAUAUACAGGUUUUGAAUGAUUUUGACAAUCAUUGGAACUCUCUGUUACCAUGGAUACAGGAUCAAAUAUUUCAAAAAUUUCAAAAUGCUCCAAAAUUGAUCAAACUUAAUAUGAUUGUUGACUGGCAAAGUCUGGAUGAUACUUUUGACUUUGGAAUUUCCAAAAUGGCCAACGUUGCCAUGGAAACUGCAAAAAAGUCAAAAAUUCUAAAAAUGCUUUGAACUUAAUGAAACUUUGUAUUAUGUUUAACUGGCAAGUAAGAUGAGUUUGUUGAAAAAAGUUGCCAUGGAAACAAAAAUGUGCGUUAAAUGUGAAAAAAUCAAAAAUUCCAUGAUUGUGCAACUGUUACAACAAAUCGCCAGCAUGAGUAAUUUUGUGACAGCACCCUCAACGGAGUUGGGGUGACAUAUUGUUAUUCUACGUUUCUUUUUUUUAUGGCACCCUCAACGGAGUUGGGGUGACAUAUUGUUAUUCUACGUUUCUUUUUUUUCUUUUUUUUUUAUUCUUCCACACAUUUUGUCCACGCUAUUUCUCGUAAUUGGUCAGACCCAUGUUGAUGGAACUAUACCAUAAUGUGAACCGCCAUGUGAAGUUGUGCAAGAGACAUUGGAAUGGUAAAAAAUGGCCGCCGUUACCAAGGAAACUACAAAAGUGUAAAAAAAAAAUCCAAAAUUUUAAAUCUUUCGUUAUAAGAGGCAAAGUCUUGAAAGUUUGAUGUAAAUGUUGGCAGUGGUGCCCGAGGUACCAACAGUACUUGGAAUUUUCAAAAUGGCUGCCAUUGCCAUGGAAACUGGACAAAAGUUUAACAUUGACCCUAUGGGAAAAUGCAUUUAAGCUGCAUUUUCUUUAAAAAUAUAACAACAAUUCCACGGAAAUCGUAAUUAGGAGUAUGUGCAUAUGGUCACAUGCAAUGCUGUACUGCUAACAUGUACUAGAAUAUUCUAGAAUAAAAAUAUGUAUUUUUUAUUUAAUGUGCUUUAAAAGAGAAAAUCGCCACCGAGAGAACGAGAAACACUCAGAGUACAAAUUACUGACAUUUCUGCACUUGCGUUAAAGUACAUAUCCGUGAAUGACACACCUGCUAAAAUUUACACAUUAGCUGAAAUCAAUCGAUAAACAUGUAAUUAAAUUGUACACGAUAAGUUACAUGUAUUGUGUGAUACGCGAGCUAUUGAAGAAUAAAUUGAACAGUUAAUACGCCGCUCCGUCAAUAUAUACACAUGUUGUCUGUCCAAGGUCCCCUCUAAAAAGAAUAUUAAUAUGCUAAGUCCACGAUAAUAUACUUCAGUAUCACGUGACACC